CCUGGCUGGGCUGUGUGGGGUCCCCAGGAGGUGCUGUCUGGUGGGAAGUGUCUCUGAGCUGGAGGAGGAGGAGGAGAAGGGCUGAUGGAAGAGCAGCAGGCACUGAAAAGCUGCUCGAUGCCUCUGAGUCUGGUUGACAGAUUUAUGAAGAGGUUCAGAGAUGGUUUGGUUCAUCCCAGGGGAAAUCUCCACCAGACUGACAGAGUCUGGAGACCAGUUCAAUCUGACUUUUUUCUACAAGCACAACAAGGGGAAAUUCUGAGGGACCGAAGAAAAAAGUAGUGAUUUUGGAAAUGUCAGAAUAUUUGAACAGGUUUUGAUUGACAUGAAGAUCUCAGCCUUGUCAAAAUGGAAAUGUUGCUUUUGUGUUUGCUGCAAGACCAGGGCCCAGGGCUCACCUCUGCU